rnacentral:rRNA from 1 species
AACUAACGCUGGCGGCGCGUCUUAAGCAUGCAAGUCGGACGGGAACCGGGGGCUUCGGUCCCUGGGGAGAGUGGCGAACGGGUGAGUAACACGUAGGUGAUCUGUCCCUGGGUGGGGAAUAGCCCAUGGAAACAUGGGGUAAUACCGCAUAAGGUCCUGAGGCUGUGGUCUUUGGAUGAAAGGAGCAAUUGUUCCGCCUGGGGGUGAGCCUGCGGUCCAUUAGCUAGUUGGUGAGGUAAGAGCCCACCAAGGCGACGAUGGGUAGCCGGCCUGAGAGGGUGAACGGUCACACUGGAACUGAGACACGGUCCAGACUCCUACGGGAGGCU